rnacentral:rRNA from 1 species
UACGUAGGGGGCAAGCGUUGUCCGGAUUUAUUGGGCGUAAAGAGCGUGUAGGCGGCCCGGUAAGUCCGCUGUAAAAGUCAAAGGCUCAACCUUUGAAUGUCAGUGGAUACUGCCGGGCUAGAGUCCGGAAGAGGCGAGUGGAACUCCUGGUGUAGCGGUGGAAUGCGCAGAUAUCAGGAAGAACCCCAACGGCGAAGGCAGCUCGCUGGGACGGUACUGACGCUGAGACGCGAAAGCGUGGGGAGCGAACAGG